GGAAGGUAAGAGUUCAGCUCAUUAAUGGUUUGUGGAUAGGCUGAAGCAGGAAGGUAAGAGUUCAGCUCAUUAAUCCCUCACAGCUCUCUCUGCAGCAUGGCCACAUCCUUGUGGGUUCUGUCUUGUGUGUCAAGUUUCGUCUCGCAAAGAUGAGGUUUGUCUUGUGAUGAAAACAGUGAAACACAAAACUCAGCAGUACAGUGGCCAGUCUCCCUCUAAACACAGUCUCUCCCUCCUCCUGUCCUCUCCCCUCCCCUCCCUCCAUCUCCUCUCCCCUCACCUCCCCUCAUCUCCCUCUUCUCUCCCCUCUCCUCCUCUCCCCUCCCUCUCCUCCUCUCCCCAUGUCUGUAUAAGCUGCUGGCUGGUUUUUAAGAUAAGUCUGCGUUUGCUCUCUGCACCUUCGCGUACAGCGCUGGGAAGCAGGCGCCAGUCAUCCUGUUCAGAGGGAAGACCUAUUGAUUAUCCAUUAUUGAUUGAUUGAUUUGUUUGCACAGAACGCCAGGGUGAGAACAUUUGAGGGUUUCCUCUCACACACUCACACAUCUGUGUGUGUAUCUUAACCAGCACCCUGUCUGUGUGGGAUGGGUUAUUUUCUCAGAUCUCUGUUUUAGGGUUAAAUAGUUGAACCAAGGGGACCCCGUGAUUUUGGCUGGGAUCCCUGCUUUCAGCCGGAUGGUUAUGAAAAGACGUAUGCAGAGCUGCCCAAGUAUGUAAAGAACAGCAUCUCUCAUCGCUACAGAGCCGCUAGGGCUGACAGCUUCAUUCAGCAAUGUGACGACCCGGACAGCGGCUCCCAGAGCAGCCAGACCUGGAGGCAGCAGCUCCUGGCGGAUACACUUUCUCUCCUCCCGGGUUUUCACUUGGGUGCAUCAAGCUGCUUUCUGAAACACCCUUAACCCACUCAUGCAUGGCGACCUCAUGUAGGGACGGAUACAAACUCUCUUCUAGUCUUUAUAUGAGGAGACGUGGAAGAAGCAAGUGCAUGAUGACCGGAUGCCAUCCCCACCCCAUAUAAAGCAAUGGGAAAAAUUGAAAUGUCAAUGAAAAACGUAUUGAUUGUGGGUCCAAACCUUUGUGCAUGAAAGGGUUAAAGAUAGUGAAACACUGAAGGUGUUUUUUUCCACAUGACCCAGAGGACAGUGGACCAUUGUGGGUGCGGUUCCUGACAGCCUGGGAAUGCAUCCAAUCCAGUCAGCUUGUAAAAUGUGAUACUGCACAAAUAAAACCUGCCUCCUUUUA